UUAUAAUAAGGUGAUGAGGUUCACCUAUUUAAACUGCCAGAAUACUAUUUUUUCUGGAUGAUGACCUCUACUAAUAA
rnacentral:ncRNA from 2 species